rnacentral:rRNA from 1 species
AUUGAACGCUGGCGGCAGGCCUAACACAUGCAAGUCGAGCGGAUGAAGGGAGCUUGCUCCCGGAUUCAGUGGGGGACGGGCGGGUGAUGACUAGGUAUCUGACUGACAGCGGGGGCUAGGGUCAGGACAGGGGCGCUGAUACAGUAUCAGUUCAGAGGGAGAAAGGGGGGGAGCUAUGGACAUAACGGUAUUAGAUGAGUCUAGGAGGGAUUAGCUAGUUGGUGUGGUAAAGUCAUACAAAGGCGACGAUGCGUAGCUGGGCUGAGAGGAUGAUCAGCCACACUGGAACUGAGACACGGUCCAGACUCCUACGGGAGGCAGCAGUGGGGAAUAUUGGACAAUGGGCGAAAGCCUGAUCCAGCCAUGCCGCGUGUGUGAAGAAGGUCUUCGGAUUGUAAAGCACUUUUAGUAGGGAAGAACAGCAGUAUGUUAAUACCUUGCUGUUUUGACGGUACCAAAAGAAUAAGCACCGGCUAACUUCGUG